rnacentral:misc_RNA from 1 species
GAAAUGCGAUAAGUAGUGUGAAUUGCAGAAUUCAGUGAAUCAUCGAAUCUUUGAACGCACAUUGCGCCCCUUGGUAUUCCAUGGGGCAUGCCUGUUCGAGCGUCAUUUGUACCCUCAAGCUCUGCUUGGUGUUGGGUGUUUGUCCCGUCUCCGCGCGUGGACUCGCCCCAAAGUGAUUGGCAGCCGGCGUACUGGUCCCGGAGCGCAGCACAUGUCGCGCAAACGAGUGCCUUGGUACGGCGGCGUCCAUAAGCCCCUCUCUCACGCUCUUGACCUCGGAUCAGGCAGGGAUACCCGCUGAACUUAAGC